AUUGAACGCUGGCGGCAGGCCUAACACAUGCAAGUCGAGCGGAGCGGCGGACGGGUGAGUAAUGCCUAGGAAUCUGCCUGGUAGUGGGGGAUAACGUCCGGAAACGGGCGCUAAUACCGCAUACUAUCAGAUGAGCCUAGGGCGGAUUAGCUAGUGGGUGGGGUAAAGGCCUACCAAGUCGACGAUCCGUAAAUGGUCUGAGAGGAUGAUCAGUCACACUGGAACUGAGACACGGUCCAGACUCCUACGGGAGGACGCAGUGGGGAAUAUUGGACAAUGGGCGAAAGCAUGAUCCAGACAUGCCGCGUGUGUGAAGAAGGGCUUCGGAUUGUAAAGCUCUGUAAGUUGGGAUGCGUUAUCAACAGAAUAAGCACCGGCUAACUUCGUGCCAGCAGCCGCGGUAAUAC
rnacentral:rRNA from 1 species